AGGUACCAGUAGUGCGUUUCAGUUUCCCGGGAAAAAUUCAGGGAAAAUUAGGGACAGCCUGCAAGCGCACUGUGAAACCGUGUUCGGACCCCGAAACGAGUAAGGACCCCUCACCCUAUUUCCUAUCACGGUUUUAAAGUUCAAUAAAUGAUAAAACGGUAUUUCAUGAAUCAACGAAUGUGUGAAAUUGCUUAAGGUCGCUAAUGG
rnacentral:lncRNA from 1 species